GCCUGUGCUCUGGAGCUUGAUCCGAAAGCUUCCACAGUGAGGACUGCUCCGUGGGGUGAGUGUUGUGGCCUAUGCCUCCUUGCCCCAGCAAGGAAAGUGCCUUCUGCUCAGGAUUUACAAGUCUCCCCCAUUUUGCUGCUUUCCUUUCGGCGGGCUCAGUGGUUUUCUCCUCACUACAGUCAGAAGUUGAGUUACAGGAAGAUUCGCCAGAGAUUUAUCGCCUGGCCCCAAACUUGGAGAGCCUCGUUGUCAUAAACAGCCAUCUAUUGUCUAGACUUUUAUCUCCGGGUAUGGAUCGUGCAUUAGCGAGGCUCAGGAGACAUGGGGCUGGCUCUGUGGGGUGUUUGUGCAGCCGGUGCCUGCCCGCAGGCCCCAGGGGUUUCUUUGGGUCAUUUUAUGAGAGUGCACACAUUUGUGUACACUCUUGGAGCUGGGCAGGUACGCCUGAGUGUUCACGAGUGGAGGCCCAAGGGUAAGAGAGCACCAGGCACUGAGGCCUGGGAGUUCCACAGACCAACACCCCUGCUCCUGGCGGCUCCCACCCGGGACUUAGACCCUCAGGUCCCUAAUAUCCCGGAGGUGCUCUCAAUCAGAAAGGUCCUGCUCCGCUUCGCAGUGGAAUGGAACGGAUUUAGAAGCCUGCAGUAGGGGAGUGGGGAGUGGAGAGAGGGAGCCCAGAGUUACAGACGGCGGCGAGAGGAAGGAGGGGCGUCUUUAUUUUUUUAAGGCCCCAAAGAGUCUGAUGUUUACAAGACCAGAAAUGCCACGGCCGCGUCCUGGCAGAGAAAAGGCUGAAAUGGAGGACCGGCGCCUUCCUUAUAAGCACUGUGUAGUCAGGGUCAGGAUUUCAGCAGGAAGUGCAGGGGACAGAAUUCCAAAUGGGGGAAGCUGAGAGAGUCCUGCGUUCUUACAUUCCCAGACUUUAUAGUUCUGUCUAGUGUUACAUUGUUUCUUCAGGCAAAGAUCUUUGUUCCCCUUCAGUCAUAUUUCUCCCUUCCCCCUCCCUUUCUUUCUCUUUCCCUUCCCCCUUUUUUGAGUCCCUUUAAAGGAGACUCAGAUCAUCUUCUGCUCUUAAUAGAUGACUAUAAAAGUAAAAUUAAUUCCCUCCUGCCCUUUAAUAUCAAUAUCUCUCCGUUAAGUAUGCACAUUGGCGAGAGAAGUGCUGCAACCUAAACCAGCAAUUACACCCAAGCUCGUUGGGGCCUAAGCCAGUACCGACCUGGUAGAAAAAGCAACCACGAAGCUAGAGAGAGAGCCAGAGGAGGGAAGAGAGCGCCAGACGAAGGUGAAAGCGAACCACGCAGAGAAAUGCAGGCAAGGGAGCAAGGCGGCAGUUCCCGGAACAAACGUGGCAGAGGGCAAGACGGGCACUCACAGACAGAGGUUUAUGUAUUUUUAUUUUUUAAAAUCUGAUUUGGUGUUCCAUGAGGAAAAGGGAAAAUCUAGGGAACGGGAGUACAGAGAGAAUAAUCCGGGUCCUAGCUCGCCACAUGAACGCCCAGAGAACGCUGGAAAAACCUGAGCGGGUGCCGGGGCAGCACCCGGCUCGGGUCAGCCACUGCCCCACACCGGGCCCACCAAGCCCCGCCCCUCGCGGCCACCGGGGCUUCCUUGCUCUUCUUAUCAUCUCCAUCUUUAUGAUGAGGCUUGUUAACAAGACCAGAGAGCUGGCCAAGCACCUCUAUCUCAGCCGCGCCCGCUCAGCCGAGCAGCGGUCGGUGGGGGGACUGGGAGGCGCUAAUUAAUUGAUUCCUUUGGACUGUAAAAUAUGGCGGCGUCUACACGGAACCCAUGGACUCAUAAACAAUAUAUCUGUUGGGCGUGAGUGCACUGUCUCUCAAAUAAUUUUUCCAUAGGCAAAUGUCAGAGGGUUCUGGAUUUUUAGUUGCUAAGGAAAGAUCCAAAUGGGACCAAUUUUAGGAGGCCCAAACAGAGUCCGUUCAGUGUCAGAAAAUGCUUCCCCAAAGGGGUUGGGAGUGUGUUUUGUUGGAAAAAAGCUUGGGUUAUAGGAAAGCCUUUCCCUGCUACUUGUGUAGACCCAGCCCAAUUUAAGAAUUACAAGGAAGCGAAGGGGUUGUGUAGGCCGGAAGCCUCUCUGUCCCGGCUGGAUGCAGGGGACUUGAGCUGCUCCGGAAUUUGAGAGGAACAUAGAAGCAAAGGUCCAGCCUUUGCUUCGUGCUGAUUCCUAGACUUAAGAUUCAAAAACAAAUUUUUAAAAGUGAAACCAGCCCUAGCCUUUGGAAGCUCUUGAAGGUUCAGCACCCACCCAGGAAUCCACCUGCCUGUUACACGCCUCUCCAAGACACAGUGGCACCGCUUUUCUAACUGGCAGCACAGAGCAACUCUAUAAUAUGCUUAUAUUAGGUCUAGAAGAAUGCAUCUUGAGACACAUGGGUAACCUAAUUAUAUAAUGCUUGUUCCAUACAGGAGUGAUUAUGCAGUGGGACCCUGCUGCAAACGGGACUUUGCACUCUAAAUAUAGACCCCAGCUUGGGACAAAAGUUGCAGUAGAAAAAUAGACAUAGGAGAACACUUAAAUAAGUGAUGCAUGUAGACACAGAAGGGGUAUUUAAAAGACAGAAAUAAUAGAAGUACAGAAGAACAGAAAAAAAAUCAGCAGAUGGAGAUUACCAUUCCCAAUGCCUGAACUUCCUCCUGCUAUUAAGAUUGCUAGAGAAUUGUGUCUUAAACAGUUCAUGAACCCAGAAGAAUGCAAUUUCAAUGUAUUUAGUACACACACAGUAUGUAUAUAAACACAACUCACAGAAUAUAUUUUCCAUACAUUGGGUAGGUAUGCACUUUGUGUAUAUAUAAUAAUGUAUUUUCCAUGCAGUUUUAAAAUGUAGAUAUAUUAAUAUCUGGAUGCAUUUUCUGUGCACUGGUUUUAUAUGCCUUAUGGAGUAUAUACUCACAUGUAGCUAAAUAGACUCAGGACUGCACAUUCCUUGUGUAGGUUGUGUGUGUGUGGUGGUUUUAUGCAUAAAUAAAGUUUUACAUGUGGUGAAUAUACGUGCUGUAUGUAAUCUUUCCCCAGUCGGUUGCUUUCACAUACAGUAGAUAAAAGUGCCUCUGUGUGUACAUUUUAUAAAGAAAUAUAUUUUCUAUGCCAACAAUGUACCCAUAAUAGAG
rnacentral:lncRNA from 1 species